rnacentral:misc_RNA from 1 species
GAUGAAGAACGCAGCGAAAUGCGAUAAGUAAUGUGAAUUGCAGAAUUCAGUGAAUCAUCGAAUCUUUGAACGCACAUUGCGCCCCCUGGUAUUCUGGCGGGCAUGCCUGUUCGAGCGUCAUUUCAACCCUCAAGCACAGCUUGGUGUUGGGACUCGCGUUAAUUCGCGUUCCCCAAAUUGAUUGGCGGUCACGUCGAGCUUCCAUAGCGUAGUAGUAAAACCCUCGUUACUGGUAAUCGUCGCGGCCACGCCGUUAAACCCCAACUUCUGAAUGUUGACCUCGGAUCAGGUAGGAAUACCCGCUGAACUUAAGCAUAUCAAUAAGCGGAGGA